rnacentral:SRP_RNA from 1 species
GCCGGGUGCGGUGGCGCGUGCCUAUAGUCCCAGCUACUCUGGGAGGCUGAGGUGGGAGGGUCGCUUGAGCCCAGGAGUUCUAGGCUGUAGUGCGCUAUGCCGAUCGGGUGUCCGCACUGAGUUCGGCAUCAAUAUGAUGACCUCCCGGGAGUGAGGGACCACCAGGUUGCCUAAGGAGGGGUGAACCGGCCCAGGUCAGAAACAGAGAAGGUCAAAACUCCCUUGCUGAUCAGUAGUGGGAUCUCACCUGUGAAUAGCCACUGCACUCCAGCCUGGGCAACAUAGCGAGACCUUGUCUCU